rnacentral:rRNA from 1 species
UAAUACGUAGGGGGCGAGCGUUGUCCGGAGUUACUGGGCGUAAAGGGCGCGUAGGCGGUUAUUGCAAGUUAGCUGUGAAAGACCCUGGCCUAACUGGGGCAAGUCAGCUGAGACUGUGUGACUGGAGGGCGGUAGAGGAAGGUGGAAUUCCGGGUGUAGUGGUGAAAUGCGUAGAUAUCCGGAGGAACACCGUUGGCGAAGGCGAUCUUCUGGGCCGAACCUGACGCUGAUGCGCGAAAGCGUGGGUAGCGAACCGA